rnacentral:rRNA from 1 species
AGUGAACGCUGGUGGUAGGCCUAACACAUGCAAGUCGAACGGCAGCACAGUAAGAGCUUGCUCUUACGGGUGGCGAGUGGCGGACGGGUGAGGAAUACAUCGGAAUCUACUUUUUCGUGGGGGAUAACGUAGGGAAACUUACGCUAAUACCGCAUACGACCUACGGGUGAAAGCAGGGGAUCUUCGGACCUUGCGCGAUUGAAUGAGCCGAUGUCGGAUUAGCUAGUUGGCGGGGUAAAGGCCCACCAAGGCGACGAUCCGUAGCUGGUCUGAGAGGAUGAUCAGCCACACUGGAAUUGAGACACGGUCCAGACUCCUACGGGAGGCAGCAGUGGGGAAUAUUGGACAAUGGGCGCAAGCCUGAUCCAGCCAUACCGCGUGGGUGAAGAAGGCCUUCGGGUUGUAAAGCCCUUUUGUUGGGAAAGAAAAGCAGCAGGUUAAUACCCCGCUGUUCUGACGGUACCCAAAGAAUAAGCACCGGCUAACUUCGUG